UCCGGUUUAACACCGGCAGUCUCGCUAGAGUGCUCAGCUUUACCUGGUGGCAACUAGCGAUAGGGGUUGCGCUCGUUAAGGGACUUAACCCGACACUUCACAGCACGAGCUGACGACAGCCAUGCAGCACCUGUGCACGUUCCACUACGAGAGUGUCAUUCGCCUUUCAGCGAACUAAUCCGUGCAUGUCAAGCCCAGGAUAAGGUUCUUCGCGUUGCUUCGAAUUGAGCCACAUGCUCCACCGCUUGUGUGAGCCCCCGUCAAUUCCUUUGAGUUUUAGCCUUGCGACCGUACUCCCCAGGCGGUGCACUCAACGUUUUUACUUCGGCCGAGAAAGCAUCAGAGCCUCCUCGAUCUAGUGCACAUCGUUUACGGCGUGGACUAC
rnacentral:misc_RNA from 1 species